rnacentral:misc_RNA from 1 species
AAGUCGUAACAAGGUUUCCGUAGGUGAACCUGCGGAAGGAUCAUUAACAAAUCUUGGUGUGAUCCUGGCAGCUAAUGCUGCUAGGUCACAACACAUUGACUCGGGCCUUGACACGCAGUGUCGGGGCCUUGAGACAUUCGCGCUUGUUGUGUUUGACUGUUUCGUAUAUAUUACUUUAAGGAAUAGACAACUUUUAACAAUGGAUCUCUUGGCUCUU